rnacentral:lncRNA from 1 species
GGUGAGGUCAGGUGUCACUGCAGCAACGAGGAUGCCACUCAGAGAGACCAGAGGGACAAACACCACAGCCAGUCCUGCCACAGCCCUGCCACAAAAAAGAAUAUGCUGUCAAGUCAUUUGUUUGUGUUCAUACAUAAACUUAGAAGAUCACAGACAUUCAUUGUCAUAGGAGUACAUAAUAUUGCCUAGUGAGGCCAAAGUAACACCUAAGUUCCUGCCUACAGAGAAAGUAUGUGAAAAAGUGGGUGAACUUUGUAACGGUCAUUCACAAAACAGGAAUGAAUCAAAAAAUAUGUACUUUCUUUGCAAAAGAAUGCAGAAAGACUCCUGAGACCACCUAAAAAAUUGCAAGAAAUCAAUUCGUAAAUAUUUAGAGUCCUUUUGUUAAGAAAUUUGUAAAGAGUGGUAAUUAUAUAAUUAGGUCUGUGCAGAAGGGGAAGAAGCAGGCCUUUGGUCACAAAUUUAAGUUGCAUUAAAAACAUUAUUAAAGUAUUCAUUACAGGCACAAUGAUAGGCAAAUUAAAGACAAUCUCGGGUAAGAGAUGAACACUUGUGUUUUCUCUGUAUGUGGAGGGGGGUGUAUUUGUGGCAUUUAAGGCAGGAUAGAGAUGUGUAAG